AGUGAACGCUGGCGGUAGGCCUAACACAUGCAAGUCGAACGGCAGCACAGUAAGAGCUUGCUCUUACGGGUGGCGAGUGGCGGACGGGUGAGGAAUACAUCGGAAUCUACUUUUUCGUGGGGGAUAACGUAGGGAAACUUACGCUAAUACCGCAUACGACCUACGGGUGAAAGCAGGGGAUCUUCUGACCUUGCGCGAUUGAAUGAGCCGAUGUCGGAUUAGCUCGUUGGCGGGGUAAAGGCCCACCAAGGCGACGAUCCGUAGCUGGUCUGAGAGGAUGAUCAGCCACACUGGAACUGAGACACGGUCCAGACUCCUACGGGAGGCAGCAGUGGGCAAUAUUGGACAAUGGGCGCAAGCCUGAUCCAGCCAUACCGCGUGGGUGAAGAAGGCCUUCGGGUUGUAAAGCCCUUUUGUUUGGAAAGAACAGCAGCAGGUUAAUACCCCGCUGUUCUGACGGUACCCAAAGAAUAAGCACCGGCUAACUUCGUG
rnacentral:rRNA from 1 species